AUAAGUUAUUAAUUGCUUUAUUAGCCGUGGGGCUUUUUGGGAAGUUUUGCUAUUGUGUGAGAUCGUGGAAUUCUGAGGAUCAGAGAAUUGUCUCGGAAGCAUACAAAAAUGCUACAAAAGCACAAGCUCUGGUUGAAGCGCACGAGAGACAAUUGUUUGAUCUUGGAAUUGUGUUGGAACCGGAAGAUAUUGGUCAAGCUAAUCUGGGGAACUUUCAUCAAUUUCUCGAUGAAUCAGUUAAGGAAGCAUUUCGUACUUCGAGGGUUCUUCGUAAGGCUAGCCAGUACCUCC